rnacentral:rRNA from 1 species
UAGGGAAUCUUCCGCAAUGGGCGAAAGCCUGACGGAGCAACGCCGCGUGAGUGAUGAAGGUCUUCGGAUCGUAAAACUCUGUUAUUAGGGAAGAACAAAUGUGUAAGUAACUGUGCACGUCUUGACGGUACCUAAUCAGAAAGCCACGGCUAACUACGUGCCAGCAGCCGCGGUAAUACGUAGGUGGCAAGCGUUAUCCGGAAUUAUUGGGCGUAAAGCGCGCGUAGGCGGUUUCUUAAGUCUGAUGUGAAAGCCCACGGCUCAACCGUGGAGGGUCAUUGGAAACUGGGAAACUUGAGUGCAGAAGAGGAAAGUGGAAUUCCAUGUGUAGCGGUGAAAUGCGCAGAGAUAUGGAGGAACACCAGUGGCGAAGGCGACUUUCUGGUCUGUAACUGACGCUGAUGUGCGAAAGCGUGGGGAUCAAACAGGAUUAGAUACCCUGGUAGUCCACGCCGUAAACGAUGAGUGCUAAGUGUUAGGGGGUUUCCG